rnacentral:tRNA from 1 species
GUGAUAUUAGUAUAUAUGUAUAGUACAUAUUCCUUCCAAGAAUAAAGAUAAAAUAUAAUAUCAUA